rnacentral:rRNA from 1 species
UACGUAGGGUGCGAGCGUUGUCCGGAAUUACUGGGCGUAAAGAGCUCGUAGGUGGUUUGUCGCGUUGUCCGUGAAAACUCACAACUCAAUUGUGGGCGUGCGGGCGAUACGGGCAGACUGGAGUACUGCAGGGGAGACUGGAAUUCCUGGUGUAGCGGUGGAAUGCGCAGAUAUCAGGGGGAGCACCGGUGGCGAAGGCGGGUCUCUGGGCAGUAACUGACGCUGAGGAGCGAAAGCGUGGGGAGCGAACAGG